UACGUAGGGUGCAAGCGUUGUCCGGAUUUCUUGGGCGUAAAGAGCGUGUAGGCGGCCAGGUAGGUCUGCUGUGAAAACUCGAGGCUUAACCUCGAGCUGUCGGCGGAAACCAUCUGGCUAGAGUCCGGAAGAGGAGAAUGGAAUUCCCGGUGUAGCGGUGAAAUGCGCAGAUAUCGGGAAGAACACCCGUGGCGAAGGCGGUUCUCUGGGACGGUACUGACGCUGAGACGCGAAAGCGUGGGGAGCGAACAGG
rnacentral:rRNA from 1 species